AUGGACCCUAGUGAGAUUUUGAAUGUCAGAUUUCAUUUUGGGGGCCAGUUCAUCCACAUUGGUCCUGUUUUGGAUUAUGUGGGGGGAGAUGAAGCAAUUUCAUCGAUUGAGAGGGACAAGUUGUCAUUGUUUGAAGUUCAAGGGCAUUUGAAAGACCAUCUGGAGUUCAAGGAAUCGAUGAAGUUGUAUUUUCAUGUGCCUGGGAAAGAACUAGCUGAUGGUUUGAGGUUUUUGUUUGAUGACAGUGGUUGUGCUAGCAUGUCAGACUACAUUUGUGUUGGAAAUGUAGCUGAUAUUUAUGUGGAAUACCAUGGGGAGCAGGACAGUGAGAGUAGAAGCAGUGCUAGUGACUAUGAGAAUGAGAUUGUUGAUGUUGAUAUGGAUGAUGAUGAAGCUGAAGAACCUGACAUGGUCAUUACUGCAGAACUAGAUGAUAAUGGUGUGCUCACUCAAAUGAACAACAUCCAAUUUGAGCAGCCUAGGGCAAGCAAAACCACAGUGGCAACUGAGGUUGAUGAAGUGGCAGGAACUCAGUUGGUAUUUUCUCAAAUAUGCAGUCUAGAUGAAGUGCCAGAUGCAGUGCAUUUUCAGAGCAAUUUGAGGACAGAUGAAGUGAACUUUCAGAGGAAUGUGAGGACAGAGAAAGUGAAGGUUCAGAGCAACAAUCCACCAGAUCAAGUGAAUGUUGAGAGCAACAAUGCAGUUUCAGCUAGUGAUUCUGAAGAAGAUACAGAGUACAUACCACACAGUGAGGAUAGUGGAGAAAAUUCAGAGGUUGUUGAGCUCAGAAGGCAUGCUAGAAAAUUUAAGAAGAGGAUGAGAGAUACAAAGAGUUGGCUUGCAGGUGAUUCAACAGCUCCUAUUUCUAUUGACUUAAUUGCAAAUAUGGAAGAUCAAUUAUAG
rnacentral:rRNA from 1 species